rnacentral:rRNA from 1 species
GACGAACGCUGGCGGCGUGCUUAACACAUGCAAGUCGAACGGUGAAGCGCCUUCCUUUUUGGUGGGUGUGGAUGAGUGGCGAACGGGUGAGUAACACGUGAGUAACCUGCCCCCUUCUUCUGGAUAACCGCAUGAAAGUGUGGCUAAUACGGGAUAUUCUGGGUCUGUCGCAUGAUGGGUCUGGGAAAGAUAUUGUUUCGGUGUGGGAUGGGCUCGCGGCCUAUCAGCUUGUUGGUGGGGUGAUGGCCUACCAAGGCGGUGCCGGGUAGCCGGCCUGAGAGGGUGGCCGGUCACACUGGGACUGAGACACGGCCCAGACUCCUACGGGAGGCAGCAGUGGGGAAUAUUGCACAAUGGGCGCAAGCCUGAUGCAGCGACGCCGCGUGAGGGAUGGAGGCCUUCGGGUUGUGAACCUCUUUCGCCAGUGAAGCAGGCCUGCCUCGUUUGUGGGUGGGUUGACGGUAGCUGGAUAAGAAGCGCCGGCUAACUACGUG